CCCUCCCGCCCCGCGCAGAGGCCGGAGGGCCGGACUGGCUCGCAGAGGCCGCUUAUCAGACCCCGGGCUGGCGCCGGUUACGUAACUGGGCCGCUAAAGCUGUUUUACUUGUCGAUGGAACCCAAAUUAAAAGAGGAAAUUAUUCUCCUGAUGCUCAACUCGCCUAAUCCCCAUCUGUCGCUCCGCUGGUCCCCCGCGCUCGCAUCGAAAGGAAUCCAUCUUUCAAGCUUGCCCCCCCCCCCAGAUCUGCAGAGAGAUGUUAUGACACCAUUGUGCAUUCAGGAAUAGUAAAGAAAUUGGAAACAACACGUCUGUCAACCGGGGAGUCAUCAAAUUGAGGGGAACAUGGACAUUCUGGAAUUCUGCGUAGCUGAUUUUUAACAAUGGGGGUAGAUCAAGAUGUAGUGAUGUGGAUUAGAUUGUUUAGAAAAUUCUUUUUAAAAAAGCAAGCCUCCGAAAUAAAUAUACAGGAUACGGUUUUACUUGUGUUUUUUGUUUUAUAAAUCUGUAAAUGUGGAAAUGGAAGGAUACAUCGAACUGUUAACAUGUUAGUUCUAGGAUCCCCACCCCAGAAGGGAUCCCAAGGGGUGGGGGGUGAGGAGUGGUAAGGAGGGUAAAAGACAUCCGUUACUCU
rnacentral:lncRNA from 1 species